rnacentral:rRNA from 1 species
AUACGUAGGGGGCGAGCGUUGUCCGGAAUGAUUGGGCGUAAAGGGCGCGUAGGCGGCCCGGUAAGUCUGGAGUGAAAGUCCUGUUUUUAAGAUGGGAAUUGCUUUGGAUACUGUCGGGCUUGAGUGCAGGAGAGGUAAGUGGAAUUCCCAGUGUAGCGGUGAAAUGCGUAGAGAUUGUGAGGAACACCAGUGACGAAGGCGACUUACUGGACUGUAACUGACGCUGAGGCGCGAAAGUGUGGGGAGCAAACAGGAUUAGCUACCCUGGUAGUCCACACUGUAAACGAUGAAUGCUAGGUGUAGGGGGUAUCGACCCCUUCUGUGCCGCAGUCGACACAAUAAGCAUUCCGCCUGGGGAGUACGGCCGCAAGGUUGAAACUCAAAUGAAUUGGCGGGG